AGAUAGAGGCGCGCCGCAUCAAGAGUAACCGCGGGGUUUCGACCGACCGAGGGUUUUGCCGCGGGAAAGGGAUGGGCGCCGAAGUGUCCGGAGUCUCGAUCGCCCGGAUAGCUGGUUUUCCGGAGAAUAUCCGUAAAACUGUCGCGUUUCGCGGAGAGCUAUCGGUU
rnacentral:ncRNA from 1 species